ensembl:lncRNA
CACAAAAAUAUUAAAUAUAUAUGUUGUUUAAAAAUAAUAGUUGUCUUCUAUGGGUGUAUGUCCCAAGAAAAAUUAAAUAUUUUUUAACUAACUUGAUUCAAAUAAACAACCUAAAGAAGCCAAAGCCAGAAAUCAAUACACAAACCAAACAUUAAAUCAAAAACAUAUUUUAAAUCCAUAAUACAGGCGGAAAAGGCAUAUCUAAUUCUCAGAUCUUCUGGCUUUCUAAGUCCAAAAUUUAAAAUAGCUCUAAAACCAGUGUAGUCUCUAUGGAAUUACUGGUUUCACAAGGCAGCUUUUAUCCUCACUCAGGAUCAAACUAAUCCCCUGACACUCUCAGGAAAGAAAGAGUAAAAUCAAGUUGUACCAAAAAUCUUUAUACUCAGCAUUCAUUCAGAUCUUCAAAACCACUUUCAUGGCUUGUAACACACCAGAAAAAUAUUACUCUAGUAAGUAAUUAUUUUGUACAAAAAUGAAUAAUUUAAAUUGGAAAUAAUUUGCUAUCCAUGUCAUUCAUAAAUCCAUGCUACUAUAAUUCUUAAUAUGAAUGCAUAAUACAUGCAGCAUAUCAUGCAUUAAAUAUUCUAAAAGAUAAGUUCUCUAGCCGAAAUUAGUUAAGUAAAUACUAGCCAAUUUAAAAGCAAGAAAAGUUAACUCUUCCUUCUCUCCCCCUCCAUCUUGACUCCCUCCAAACCAGCAGGAAUCUUUCAGGUGCUAAUGUGUGUCAAUUAGAAGAAAAGAGAAUGGGGAUAAACAAAACAACUGGAAAAGGUACAGAAUGCUAUGACCCAAAAGAGAUGUUACUCUUCCACGUUGCAAUUGAAGUUAAACUACAGUGAGAAGUCUUCACCAUUUUCAGUAGUUCAAAGUAAGGUAGUUAUUGUCCUCCUUCUUGGGAAUGUAACUCAUUCCAAAACUUUCUUUCCCAGCUCUUGCAUAGAGCAUGUGCUUAAAUACCAAGUAAAAAAAAAAAAAACAAAAAAAACAAAAAAACUGAAUUAUUUAAAAUAAAAGUUAACAGGCUUUUUUCUCUACCCUCAGUUCAACAAUGUAUAGAUCAGGAGACCAAGGGGGAAAAAACAAACCAGGUAAAUCACUAAAUACAGUCAUUUCUUCUUCCCGUAGUGGGAGGAGCAACAUGGUAGGCAGCUAUUUAUUUAACAACUUUGUAUUCACUAAGCCACCUUCCUUUUUUCAUUUCAUCAGAGAAUUUGGGUAAAUUCCCUGAUGAUGCACAAAUCCAAAGAGAAAAGUAAACAACGAAGCAACACUGGAAAAAAAAAACAAACGAACACAAAGAUGCAACAUUCACAUUGCCUACUGGACCAUAAACAAUAAAGUAAAAUAUAUUUACUACCAUCUUCUUUUAAUCUAGAGAGAAAAAAUAACACAAUAACCUCUACAAAUAUAUAUCAAAAUAUCCCAAAAUUUCCAAAUAUUUUAUCUCCAGAACCAGAUCACUAUAGUGGGGUGCCAUUGCCUUCUCUGAUCAUUACACCUACUCUCACACAAAAGAGAGCCCAGGCUCUACCUCUACUGAAGCAGAGAGGGUUUGUAAUGGUGAAGUCUCCUUCCAUAGCUCCUGACAAAUCCACUCUUGAACAUUAAACCNNNNNNNNNNNNNNNNNNNNNNNNNNNNNNNNNNNNNNNNNNNNNNNNNNNNNNNNNNNNNNNNNNNNNNNNNNNNNNNNNNNNNNNNNNNNNNNNNNNUUCCAUAGCUCCUGACAAAUCCACUCUUGAACAUUAAACCAUGUGAGGUGCUCUCCUACCUCCACGAUCCCCAUGAACAGGGAAGAGAAAGCCUGCUCUAACGAAGCGCGACCCACUAUCUGCUGGCUUCCAAAUUUUUUGAUAGGUGUAAGGGUGGGGCAUUUUGCAUUUUAAAACAGGUCUGCAAAUUCUCUAAUCUUACUCCUAUCAAAAAAAGAUAAGAGUCUGGGACUUUCCUGGCAGUCCAGUGGUUAGACUCCAUGCUUCUACUCCCAGGGGCCGAGGUUUAACCCCUGGUCAGUUCAGUUCAGUCGCUCAGUCAUGUCCGACUCUUCGCGACCCCAUGA